rnacentral:rRNA from 1 species
CCUACGGGGGGCAGCAGUGGGGGAUAUUGCACAAUGGGGGAAACCCUGAUGCAGCGACGCCGCGUGUGGGAAGACGGUCCUCUGGAUUGUAAACCACUGUCCCCAGGGACGAAGAUGACGGUACCUGGGGAGGAAGCUCCGGCUAACUACGUGCCAGCAGCCGCGGUAAUACGUAGGGAGCAAGCGUUGUCCGGAAUUACUGGGUGUAAAGGGAGCGUAGGCGGGCGAGAAAGUUGAAUGUUAAAUCUACCGGCUUAACUGGUAGCUGCGUUCAAAACUUCUUGUCUUGAGUGAAGUAGAGGCAGGCGGAAUUCCUAGUGUAGCGGUGAAAUGCGUAGAUAUUAGGAGGAACACCAGUGGCGAAGGCGGCCUGCUGGGCUUUAACUGACGCUGAGGCUCGAAAGCGUGGGGAGCAAACAGGAUUAGAUACCCCAGUAGUC